rnacentral:rRNA from 1 species
AGCGAACGUUUGCGGCGGGCCUAACACAUGCAAUUCGAACGCACUAGCAAUAGUGAGUGGCGCACGGGUGCGUAACACGUGGGUAAUCAACCCUUCAGCCUGGGAUAACGACUCGAAAGGGUCGCUAAUACCGGAUACGGCGCGAGAGGCUUCGGCUUCUCACGAGAAAGCCACGCAAGGGGCACUGAAGGACGAGCCUGCGGCCCAUCAGCUAGUUGGUGAGGUAAGAGCUCACCAAGGCGAAGACGGGUAGCUGGUCUGAGAGGAUGAUCAGCCACACUGGAACUGAGACACGGUCCAGACUCCUACGGGAGGCAGCAGUGGGGAAUAUUGCGCAAUGGGCGAAAGCCUGACGCAGCCACGCCGCGUGAGCGAUGAAGGCCUUCGGUCGUAAGACUCUGUGGGAGGAGACGAAGAAAGA